rnacentral:rRNA from 1 species
UUGGUCAUUAGAGGAAGUAAAGUCGUAACAAGGUUUCCGUAGGUGAACCUGCGGAAGGAUCAUUA